AGGCCGCGCACCCUGGUACCUUGAGGCGGGAGGCUUCCUCCUCGGCACCGGUGACGGUGUGCUCCCGGUGCUGCUGCACGAUGCACAGGCCGCAGAUGCAGGCGCCGUCGCUGCGGCAGAAGAACUCGAGCAGCUUGCCGUGGGCCGGGCACCGGCGGCGGCUCAGGCCCGGUACGGGCUCGGUGAGCUGGUGCCCUCGGUACUGCUGCUCGUCCUGGUAGUGGGGCCGGAGGUGGGCCUCACACAGGGUGGCCAGGCAGGCCCAGCACGACCUCACCGCCUUGGUGUCCCCGCAGCGGUCACAGGGGACACGGGGGGCCGGGGCCUGGCGGUUAAACUCGUCCACGAUGCCGCACAGGACGAUGUUUUUCCGGAGGGGAGGCCUGGGCACGAAGGAGGCCCGGCACUCGGGGCAGGCGCUGGCCGGGCUCUGCUGCCAGUUCUUGUCGAUGCAGCGCAGGCAGAAGGUGUGCCCGCACGGCAGGUUCACCGGCUCGGUGAAUACCUCCAGGCAAAUGGAGCAGGAGAGCUGCUGCUCCAGGGACAGCAGGUCGGCCGCGGCCAUCACCGCACACCUACAGUGGGCUGAAUGGCCUUCCCCCCCACUGCCCCAGAAACAACAGAGGCACAGACCCGAUGUUUUCCCACUCCCUCCCCAGGUUAAAGGCGACAGCUACAAUCUACAGAGAAGACCAAAUUCAUCUCAAAAUGCAACCCCCACACGGGCAGAAACAGCAGUGCCUGCUAUUGUGAUACAUGUGGAUACCAGGAGCUCAGUAAAUGUCUAUUAAAGUCUUCAGGACUAUGUUACCCGGGUCUGGAUGUUAUGGCCUGGGAGCUAUCAUUCACAGAAGCAUAAUGGGAGAGAGGCAGAGCUUCCCGAUCACAGGUUGGAGUAGCCAAUUCAUGGAAAUUAAUUCAGUAAGAGGUGGUCUGAAAUUUUCCAGCCAAUCCUACAGUGACAGAGCCUUGGCUGGGCCAGCUGCCUACAGGCCUCCCUGUAGCAGAUAUGGGAGCCAGUGUGUCAGAUGAGCGCGGAUCCCACUGGCCUGCUUCAGUGACUUUUGUUCACUAUCGUCCAGAAAACCAAGCACCUCUCUCUGUGCAAUUUGAACAGCCUCCAUGAGGUCCUUGAACUGCUUUUCAACAUUGGAUUUCACCUCUGAUACCGAGUUCUAGAAUAAGACAAUGUACUCAUACACACAAAAUUAUUGAAAUAAUAUCAAAAACUCUUAACGUUUCCCAGUUCAAACUGGAGCAAGUUCUAAGGGAAACAUGGCCUGAAAACCACACAAUACCCAGAGUAAGUGAACAUCCACUGAAUUAAUGAAAAUAUGCCUCAAUGUAAUUUUGGAGCAAAUGCACAGCACUCUAUCCCAAAUACUGCACCAAAUAAUUUAUAAACAGCGGAAAUCUGAAAAAUUGGAAAUGCUGCGAACCCUCAAUGAAGACCUGAAACUUUUUGGAUUUGUCUGGCCAAAGUGUGAAUACAGGUGACAGCUGGGGGCCAAUUAAACUUGACCUGCAUAAAAGUCUGGAUUCACCAAGCAAGUUUGGUUCUAAUUGUAAGUUAGCAUCAUUUGAAGUUGUUUAUAAGUGCUAAAGCAUACUGUGCAAAUUAAGUACGCAUUGGUGGGAUAGAUGCAACUUUCAUGGAGCAGUGCAAGUGUCCUCCUUUCACUCAUUUCCACUAAAGGAAUGAAGUGCUCUAACUGGGAUACUGCAGUAUGUUGCAGGGUACCUCAACAAUGAAGGGUGACAUCCUGGUGCUGGAGGUCCAGAGCAGGACAAUUUGUCCUGUAUCAGCAGGGAAUAUAGUCACAGCCCCGUAAUUUGAAAUCUCAAGACCAUCUAAUAAGAUGACAUCUACACUGAUCUGCAUGAAUAUUUAUAAGCUUUACAAAACGUAAUGAUUCACAAGGCUUGGCAAAAGAGGAGAUCCCUCUGGGACCUUUCAGGCUCCAAUUCCAUGUAAUUUGAUAUCACUAUGACAAACGUACUUUCUGUAGAAUUGCGCAAAAAUCCCCAUCAUUUAAAAUACCUGUCCAAAAGCCUGGACUUUUCAAAAACAAGCGCAUCUUUUAAAAAAAAGCAGUUGGGCUGAGGGCUCUGGGAAAAAUACAGGCACAGAGAUAGGAGAUAGAAAGGACUGCAGAUACUAGAGUCAGAGUCAAUACCAUUUGGAGCUGGAGGAAAACAGCAGGCCAGUCAGCAACAGACAGGCAGGAAAGUCAACAUUUUAGGUUUACACCCGUCAUCAAAACUGCUGCUUUGGAACCAUUAUUCAGCCCAAAAAUCCUAUUCACAGAUUCACUCUAAAAAGAACAAUCGGCUAGGCCUAAACCGCACCCAUCCCAGACGGAAUAGGGGCAUUGAAUAUACUAGACAUUCAGAUUUGACCAAUAUUCAUGCACAGAGCUACUAGACAUUCUACAUAACCAAGAUAUAUUUUCACCUGCUCUUAACUAACAGGAAGUCACUCGCCUCAGAAAGGAAUAGCAGUAACAUAAGGGCAAGCAUAGAUUUGGUGCAAAGACAAGGGACAAGAGACAAGAGACAAGAAGCCCCGACCUCACCUGAGCGAGAGCUAUCUCCCCAAGAGAUACCUGUACAGCUACUUUGGAAAAGGGAUCCAAGACGAUGAUUUACCCCGGGAGCUAUCCCCAGCUACCACCAGGAGAAGGAUCCGAAAGAGUUACUGCCCUGAGAGCGAUCCUCACAGCCAUCUCCAGAAGAGAAGGUGCAGAAGGUUCCCAAAAGGAAAUGUUUGCCUCUUGUUAGAGAUAAUGGGAACUGCAGAUGCUGGAGAUUCCAAGAUAAUAAAAUGUGAGGCUGGAUGAACACAGCAGGCCAAGCAGCAUCUCAGGAGCACAAAAGCUGACGUUUCGG